CCUACGGGUGGCAGCAGUGGGGAAUAUUGGACAAUGGGGGGAACCCUGAUCCAGCCAUGCCGCGUGUGUGAAGAAGGCCCUCGGGUUGUAAAGCACUUUCAGUGAGGAAGAACGCCUGGUGGUUAAUACCCAUCAGGAAAGACAUCACUCACAGAAGAAGCACCGGCUAACUCCGUGCCAGCAGCCGCGGUAAUACGGAGGGUGCGAGCGUUAAUCGGAAUUACUGGGCGUAAAGCGCGCGUAGGUGGCUUGAUAAGCCGGUUGUGAAAGCCCCGGGCUCAACCUGGGAACGGCAUCCGGAACUGUCAAGCUAGAGUGCAGGAGAGGAAGGUAGAAUUCCCGGUGUAGCGGUGAAAUGCGUAGAGAUCGGGAGGAAUACCAGUGGCGAAGGCGGCCUUCUGGACUGACACUGACGCUGAGGUGCGAAAGCGUGGGUAGCAAACAGGAUUAGAUACCCUUGUAGUC
rnacentral:rRNA from 1 species